CGAAUGCUGACGUGAGUAACGACAAAACGGGUGAAAAACCCGUUCGCCGAAAGACCAAGGGUUCCAGUCCAACGUUAAUCGGGGCUGGGUGAGUCGACCCCUAAGGCGAGGCCGAAAGGCGUAGUCGAUGGGAAAAUGGUUAAUAUUCCAUUACUUCUGUGUAAUGCGAUGAGAGGACGGAGAAGGCUAAAUCAGCCUGGCGUUGGUUGUCCAGGUGAAAGGAUGUAGGCAUGUAUCUUAGGCAAAUCCGGGGUACUCUAUGCUGAGAUCUGAUAGCAAGCUGUACUUGUACAGCGAAGUGGUUGAUGCCAUGCUUCCAGGAAAAGUCUCUAAGCUUCAGUUACACAGGAAUCGUACCCGAAACCGACACAGGUGGUCAGGUCGAGUAGACCAAGGCGCUUGAGAGAACUCUGCUGAAGGAACUAGGCAAAAUGGUACCGUAACUUCGGGAGAAGGUACGCUGUUGUUGGUGAUGGAACUCGCUUCCUGAGCUGACGACAGCCGCAGAAACCAGGCCGCUGCAACUGUUUAUUAAAAACAUAGCACUCUGCAAACACGAAAGUGGACGUAUAGGGUGUGAUGCCUGCCCGGUGCUGGAAGGUUAAUUGAUGGGGUUAGCGUAAGCGAAGCUCUUGAUCGAAGCCCCAGUAAACGGCGGCCGUAACUAUAACGGUCCUAAGGUAGCGAAAUUCCUUGUCGGGUAAGUUCCGACCUGCACGAAUGGCAUAAUGAUGGCGGCGCUGUCUCCAGCAGAGGCUCAGUGAAAUCGAAAUCGCUGUGAAGAUGCAGUGUACCCGCGGCUAGACGGAAAGACCCCGUGAACCUUUACUGCAGCUUGACACUGAACUUUGACCUUACUUGUGUAGGAUAGGUGGGAGGCUUUGAAGCUGGAACGCUAGUUCCAGUGGAGCCGUCCUUGAAAUACCACCCUGGUAAUGUUGAGGUUCUAACUCUGUCCCGUGAUCCGGGACGAGGACCGUGUCUGGUGGGUAGUUUGACUGGGGCGGUCUCCUCCUAAAGAGUAACGGAGGAGUACGAAGGUGCGCUCAGCGUGGUCGGAAAUCACGCGUAGAGUAUAAAGGCAAAAGCGCGCUUAACUGCGAGACCCACAAGUCGAGCAGGUACGAAAGUAGGUCUUAGUGAUCCGGUGGUUCUGUAUGGAAGGGCCAUCGCUCAACGGAUAAAAGGUACUCUGGGGAUAACAGGCUGAUACCGCCCAAGAGUUCAUAUCGACGGCGGUGUUUGGCACCUCGAUGUCGGCUCAUCUCAUCCUGGGGCUGAAGCAGGUCCCAAGGGUAUGGCUGUUCGCCAUUUAAAGAGGUACGCGAGCUGGGUUUAGAACGUCGUGAGACAGUUCGGUCCCUAUCUACCGUGGGCGCUGGAAAUUUGAGAGGAUCUGCUCCUAGUACGAGAGGACCAGAGUGGACGAACCUCUGGUGUACCGGUUGUGACGCCAGUCGCAUCGCC
rnacentral:rRNA from 1 species